rfam:Loktanella vestfoldensis strain SMR4r, complete genome.
GGGGACCUUCGGGGCCCUGUAAACCAUAGUCCCGGACCUGUCCGGGACGCCAAGCAAACGGAAGAAGCAA